rnacentral:lncRNA from 1 species
AUUCGCCGGCACUGCGCUGAACUCCGCGGCGGCCGCGCGUCGCUCCCGCUGUUCCUCCCGCUGCCGCGGCCUCUGUGGGCCUCCUUCACCCCAGUGGGAAGAGAGUUGUUAUUGCCCGCCGUUACCAUAGCAACUGCAGCCACGCGCUGGGAGCCGAGUCUGCGAACUAGGCCUGGCGCGCUCCUGGAUCCCCUUGGGCUUUGCCUGCUGCCUCCAGCGGAGACUGGAGAAAAUCAUGGAUUUCAUCUUCAUCAUCUGUCAUUGAAUGCAUUGUAUCCCCACAUUCAUGUUUUGAAGCCCUCACCUCCAGCACCUCAGAAUAGGACUAUAUUUGGAGAUAAAGCCUUGAAAGAGGUAAUUAAGUUGAAAACGAGGCCAUUAAGGUGGGCCCUACUUCAACCCAACAGAUGUCCUUAUAAGAAGAGGAGCUUAAGACCUACAGAGAAACACCAAGGAUGUGCAUGUGCAGAAGAAAAAGGCCACAUGAGGACACAGCAAGGAGGCAGCCAUCUAACCAGCCAAGGACAGAGGCCUCAGGGGAAACCAACAGCUUGAUCAUAGGCUCCUAACCUCCAAAACAGAAAGUAAAUUUACAUUGUUUACAUCAUAUAGUGUGUGGAAUUUUGUUAUGUCAGCAGGAGCAAACUAAUACACCCUCUCCCUCUCCCCAGUCACCAAGGUCUACCCACUCUGCUUCCCAAAUACCACUUCAGCCUAUCCUCUCCAUUUCCAGGUCACCUGCCCUCAUCCAAUCCCCGACCAAGUCUUUUAUGGAUGCCUGCGGCAGCCUCCCAACGUUCCUCCUGCUCCCCCUCACCCUCCUCGAACCCAGUCUCCAAAGGGAGGCCAGAGUGGUCAUUUACAAAUUCCUAUUUGCCUCCAGGUCUAACAAGGAGAGAGGGACAAAGCGUUUCCUUUGAGUGAAGAUUGAAGUGCUAAUUAGUAUACUGGGUCUGACACCGCAAAUUACUGAAGUUAGCAUAUAGAGUGGAUGUUUUAUUUUCUUUUUAUUGAGGUAUAGUUGAUUUACAAUAUAUUAAUUUCUGGAGUUCCCGUCGUUACUCAGUGGUUAAUGAAUCCGACUAGGAACCAUGAGGUUUCAGGUUCAAUCCCUGGCCUUGCUCAGUGG